AUGUUCAGUUUUGACAUAUUACUUCUGCUGGGAUACCAGAGCUCCUCUACAGUCUUAUUUCAGUGCAGUCAGCUGGAGAGGUGCUGUGAGUUGAACACUUCAUCACUGACACACACAACAAUCUUCAUCAUCACGACCUUCAUCAUCAUCUUCAUCUGGACUCUCACAGCGUUUGCUCAAGAGUGUGGAGGACAGAUCAGCAUCACUCAGAGUCCCUCAAUGACAGCAGAACCAGACAAACCCGUCACAAUCACCUGCAGAACCAGCACAAAUGUGUACAGAUGGGAUGAUGGAGAUGAAGGUUUAGCCUGGUAUUUACAGAAACCUGGAGAAGCUCCUAAACUCCUGAUCUAUUAUGUGAAAAAGCUUCAGUCAGGAACUGCAUCUAGAUUCAGUGGCAGUGGAUCUAACAGGGAUUUCACUCGGAGCAUCAGUGGAGUCCAGACUGAAGAUGCUGGACAUUAUUACUGUCAGAGUUACCACAGUGGUGGUGUGUUGACACAGUGA